rnacentral:rRNA from 1 species
AUUGAACGCUGGCGGCAGGCUUAACACAUGCAAGUCGAGCGGGGUGAUGGUGCUUGCACUAUCACUUAGCGGCGGACGGGUGAGUAAUGCUUAGGAAUCUGCCUAUUAGUGGGGGACAACAUCUCGAAAGGGAUGCUAAUACCGCAUACGUCCUACGGGAGAAAGCAGGGGAUCACCUGUGACCUUGCGCUAGUAGAUGAGCCUAAGUCGGAUUAGCUAGUUGGUGGGGUAAAGGCCUACCAAGGCGACGAUCUGUAGCGGGUCUGAGAGGAUGAUCCGACACACUGGGACUGAGACACGGCCCAGACUCCUACGGGAGGCAGCAGUGGGGAAUAUUGGACAAUGGGGGGAACCCUGAUCCAGCCAUGCCGCGUGUGUGAAGAAGGCCUUAUGGUUGUAAAGCACUUUAAGCGAGGAGGAGGCUCUUUUGGUUAAUACCCAAGAUGAGUGGACGUUACUCGCAGAAUAAGCACCGGCUAACUCUGUGCCAGCCGCCGCGGUAA